rnacentral:rRNA from 1 species
UACGAAGGUCCCGAGCGUUAUCCGGAUUUAUUGGGUUUAAAGGGUGCGUAGGCGGAUUAUUAAGUCAGUGGUGAAAGCCUUCAGCUUAACUGAAGAAUUGCCAUUGAUACUGAUGAUCUUGAGUAUGAUUGAGGUGGGCGGAAUGUGUCAUGUAGCGGUGAAAUGCUUAGAUAUGACACAGAACACCGAUUGCGAAGGCAGCUCACUAAGUCAUAACUGACGCUGAUGCACGAAAGCGUGGGGAGCAAACAGG